UUUAAAGGAACACUAAAGGGAAAUAUUAAGUCGAGCUAGAUCGAUAGAUUAUUCGUCUAGAAGUCUAUCUCACAGUUUUUUGU
rnacentral:lncRNA from 1 species